CCUACGGGAGGCAGCAGUGGGGAAUUUUGCACAAUGGGGGAAACCCUGAUGCAGCGACGCCGCGUGGAGGAUGAAGGCCUUCGGGUUGUAAACUCCUUUUGUAGGGGAAAAUAAUGAUGGUACCCUAUGAAUAAGCCACGGCUAACUCUGUGCCAGCAGCCGCGGUAAGACAGAGGUGGCGAGCGUUGUUCGGAAUUACUGGGCGUAAAGCGCGUGCAGGCGGGGAAGCAAGUCUGAUGUGAAAGCCCUGGGCUUAACCUGGGAAGUGCAUUGGAAACUGUUUUUCUUGAGUACUGGAGAGGAAGGGAGAAUUCCCGGUGUAGAGGUGAAAUUCGCAGAGAUCGGGAGGAACACCAGUGGCGAAGGCGCCCUUCUGGACGGUUACUGACGCUGAGACGCGAAAGCGUGGGGAGCAAACAGGAUUAGAUACCCUGGUAGUCCACGCUGUAAACGAUGAUCACUAGGUGUAGUGGGUAAUCAUUCCUGCUGUGCCGUAGCUAACGCGUUAAGUGAUCCGCCUGGGGAUUACGGUCGCAAGACUAAAACUCAAAGGAAUUGACGG
rnacentral:rRNA from 1 species